GGUCAGUGAUGAUAAAUAAGAGGUCUGACAUCAAUACUGCCGUUUCACUUGUAUCAAAUAAGCUCCCGGCAGCCUCUGUUUUAUAUCAUGCUCAAGUUGUUAGAUGAUUGGUUCUAGAGGCUGCUGACAUUUUUGGAUAACAUCAAGCCCUUAUUUUCCUCAGGCUAAGUAUAUGUGGGAAUGAAAAAUAUCCAACAUGACUGUUCCUUAAGGAGUUUUUGAUGCAAGGAUGGAACAAUAUGCAGUGACUGAUCUUGAGUUUUCAAGCUGAGACC